UACGGGGGGAGCAAGCGUUGUUCGGAUUUACUGGGCGUAAAGGGCGCGUAGGCGGCCACCGCAAGUCGAUUGUGAAAUCUCCGGGCUUAACUCGGAAAGGUCAACCGAUACUGCGGGGCUAGAGUGCAGAAGGGGCAACUGGAAUUCUCGGUGUAGCGGUGAAAUGCGUAGAUAUCGAGAGGAACACCUGCGGCGAAGGCGGGUGGCUGGGCUGACACUGACGCUGAUGUGCGAAAGCUAGGGGAGCGAACGGG
rnacentral:rRNA from 1 species